UAUCUUGAAACCAGAAUGGUGCUUCAGUU
rnacentral:piRNA from 1 species